rnacentral:rRNA from 1 species
AUGAACGCUGGCGGCGUGCCUAAUACAUGCAAGUCGAGCGAACGGACGAGAAGCUUGCUUCUCUGAUGUUAGCGGCGGACGGGUGAGUAACACGUGGAUAACCUACCUAUAAGACUGGGAUAACUUCGGGAAACCGGAGCUAAUACCGGAUAAUAUUUUGAACCGCAUGGUUCAAAAGUGAAAGACGGUCUUGCUGUCACUUAUAGAUGGAUCCGCGCUGCAUUAGCUAGUUGGUAAGGUAACGGCUUACCAAGGCAACGAUGCAUAGCCGACCUGAGAGGGUGAUCGGCCACACUGGAACUGAGACACGGUCCAGACUCCUACGGGAGGCAGUAGUAGGGAAUCUUCCGCAAUGGGCGAAAGCCUGACGGAGCAACGCCGCGUGAGUGAUGAAGGUCUUCGGAUCGUAAAACUCUGUUAUUAGGGAAGAACAUAUGUGUAAGUAACUGUGCACAUCUUGACGGUACCUAAUCAGAAAGCCACGGCUAACUACGUG